AAAGCGUGCGCAGGCGGUAUUGUAAGACUGUCGUGAAAUCCCCGGGCUCAACCUGGGAAUGGCGAUGGUGACUGCAAGGCUAGAGUUUGGCAGAGGGGGGUAGAAUUCCACGUGUAGCAGUGAAAUGCGUAGAUAUGUGGAGGAACACCGAUGGCGAAGGCAGCCCCCUGGGUCAAAACUGACGCUCAUGCACGAAAGCGUGGGGAGCAAACAGGAUUAGAUACCCGAGU
rnacentral:rRNA from 1 species